rnacentral:lncRNA from 7 species
UUUUGUGGUGAAAAUGCGUGGUGUUCAGGUUAAAGCAGGGAUUUUCGAUGAGAAAAUACAUGAUUUGGGGGUUAAAUGUGCUUGUUUGUUUGUUUGUUUGUUUGUUAGUUUGUUUGUUUGUUUGUUUUUAAGAGAAAACUUGUGAUUUUUGAUAAAUUAUGUAUUUUUGAAGUGAAAAUGCGUGAUUUUCAGGUUAGAUCAGGGAUUCUUGAAGAGAAAAUGCAUCAUUGUCGGGUUACAUGGGGGAUUUCCAAAGAGAAAUAGCCUUUUUUUCUGGUUAAAUGGGGGAUUUUUGAAGAGAAAAUGCCGUGAUUUUCAGAUUAAAUGGGGAUUCUUGAAGGGAAAAUGUGUGAUUUUCGGGGUAAUGGGGGAUUCUCGAAGAGAAAAUGGGUGAUUUUGGGUUUAAACUGCUAUUUUUGUAGAGAAUAUGCAUGAUUUUGGGUUUAAAGAGGGAUUCUCAAAGAGAAAAAGCGUUAUUUUUGUUUAAGUGGGGUAUUUUUGAAGGGAAAUGUGUGAUUUUCGGGUUAAAUGGGGGAUUCUCAAGAGAAAAUGCAUGAUUUUCGUUUACAUGUGAGAUUUUUGUAGAGGACAUGCGUGAUUUUUUGGAUACAUGGGGGAUUCUUGUAGCAAACAUGUUUGAUUUGGGGUCAAAUGGGGGAUUUUUGGAGGCAAAGUGUGAUUUUCACGUUAAAUGGGGGAUUUUCCGAGAAAAUGUGUGAUUUGGGGAUAAGGGGUAUUUUUGAAGAAUAAAGAAUUUUGGGGUAAUGGGGGAUUUUCCAAGAGAAAAUGUGUGAUUUUUGAGUUAAUGGGGGAUUUUGCAAGAGAAAAUGGGUGAUUUUGGGGUUAAAUGGGGGAUUGUUGAAGAGACAAUGCAUGGUUUGGGGUUAAGGGGGGAUUUUUGAAGAGAAAAGCGUAAUUUUUGGUUUAAACAGCUAUUUUGAAGAGAAUAU